rnacentral:rRNA from 1 species
GAUGAACGCUGGCGGCGUGCCUAAUACAUGCAAGUCGAGCGAACAGAUAAGGAGCUUGCUCCUUUGACGUUAGCGGCGGACGGGUGAGUAACACGUGGAUAACCUACCUAUAAGACUGGGAUAACUUCGGGAAACCGGAGCUAAUACCGGAUAACAUAUUGAACCGCAUGGUUCAAUAGUGAAAGGCGGCUUUGCUGUCACUUAUAGAUGGAUCCGCGCCGUAUUAGCUAGUUGGUAAGGUAACGGCUUACCAAGGCAACGAUACGUAGCCGACCUGAGAGGGUGAUCGGCCACACUGGAACUGAGACACGGUCCAGACUCCUACGGGAGGCAGCAGUAGGGAAUCCUCCGCAAUGGGCGAAAGCCUGACGGAGCAACGCCGCGUGAGUGAUGAAGGUCUUCGGAUCGUAAAACUCUGUUAUCAGGGAAGAACAAAUGUGUAAGUAACUGUGCACAUCUUGACGGUACCUGAUCAGAAAGCCACGGCUAACUACGUG